UGACGGCUGCUUCCAUGAGGAAAGACGCUCCCCCCUCCAUCAAUCAGCUGGCCUGCCGUCCAAACAAGGGGAGGGGGGAGGUGACACCCAAUCCCCGCCCUAAUCCCCGCCCUAAUCCCCGCCUCUCCUCAGGGCUCUGAUUAACCCUUUCAUGUCAGGUUUACUGCUGCCACUUCUCUUAGCCGGGGGUCGUCUGUAGUCAGUGCCCCCCUCUUUUUUUUUUGUUAGGUUGUAUUUAACAGGUUAAAUAAGAGCAGACAAUGGUCACAUGGGAGGAGGGGGUAUUAACCCCUUGUGACUCGCUGACCUCUUGCUGACCUCGGGGGUUACGGCUGGGCGCAGGUAGUAACCCGUGCGGUGCCGUGUCGUCCGGCCGGCGGGGGAGCAGUGCACCUCCCAGCAGCCUGUCAUCAGGUCGGGGGGCGGAGUUAGGGAAUGUUCGGUUUGUUCACUAGAUGGUUUGUCUCCCGCAGCAUGUGUGACUGAGGAGACUCCAGUGCCGCCCGCUCCUCCGCUCCUGCCCAGCUCACCCACUCCGGGGCUGGCAUCUGACAGUGCCCCGGCCGUACCCCCCCCCCCCCCGGGAGCGGGGCCCCGUCCCCUUCCUCUCCUGUGUCACCCCUGGAUGAUUACCGAGGAGGCUGCACACCGGACGAGAUCCGUCACUUCUGCUGCCGCUGCUGCUGCUUCUCGUAGAUUUUUCAUGAUUUUUCGCUGUUGACUUGUUGUGAUCUGGAUUAAGAAGAGGAGAGAGAUGCCCAGGAGGAAGCAGCAGGCACCAAAACGGGCAGCAGUGCCCAUUUAAAUGAACUAAAGCCCUGAGAUGCCCUGGCCCUUAUGUGCUGCAGCAGGAUGAACAGGAAGACCAGAACUAUAAAGAAUCCGAACUCCGUCAAUAGGAGAAUGUUCCACUAAAUGUCCCCGAGCAGCUGGGAUAUAAAUCCGUGUAACCCCAAGGUCGAGUAUUAGAGCCAGAAUUCCAGCUGUUACCAUCUCCCGCUUAUACACGGAUCUUUAUUGACUGUACUGAUCCUUUACAAAGACAGGUAACCCCAGAGGAUUCAGCCCGGCUGUGCAGGUUGUCUUAAGCAAAGCUCUGAGUAAAUGAUGUCUCACACAGAGAUCUCCAAGGACCCAGGGGAGGAACGGCCUAGAUCAUGAGCAGCCAGUACACAAAGACCUGCAUAAUGUGAUAACCACUCUUAAAAAACUUUUUUUUUUCCUUUCUCAAAGGACCAAGAGAUGAAUUUUACUCCAUGAAAUACACGCAGGGCAGUGUGCGGAUUCUCUAAUCAUUACAAAUUGCUCCAUAGUUUUGGGCAGAGCGAGAAAUCUUUCCUGCUGUCAAUGCUAAUUCUGCCUAUAGGAAACCCAGGCAGAGGGAAGUCGCCCUCUACUGGACACGUGCAGCUUCUGGGCCGAUCACAAGAAUGCUAGGAUCUCAGUCAUGAUGUGCAGAUCUUGGGCAAAUCAUAGGUUAUGUCCGAGAGUCGAUUUUGGUGAAAAUAGUCAACAAACUGCUAAAUACAAUAGACUGCGGAUUAGGAAAAAGCAGGUGGAACGAUUCAUCUCAAAGAAAUCUGUAUUUAUUUCUGUAUCACCCCAUCAUCCCUGCGCCAUGGGCUACCAAUCUAAUCUCCUCAUUACACACAAUGGCCCUGAUUUACUAUUAUAUUAUUAGUGUGGGAUGUUGUGUCAGAUUUGCAGGAUCCCACUCUACACACCCAUUUUCCGACUGGCCAUGGCCCUUUUUCGGGUUUGCCGGAUUUUGGCACACAACCAGACAAGAGCAAGUCGGAUUUCCAAUAGUAAAUCAGGGCCAAUGUAUCCCUUCAUCGCUGACCUCAGGAGCUCACAAUCUAAUCAAACUCUGUCACACAAUGUAUCAUGCCUAUUAUUCCAGAGGAACUUGUAAUCUAAUCUUCCUAUGUUUCGCAAUGUAUCACUCCCAUCAUGCCUGUCAUUAGGAGCCCACAAUCUAAUUUCUCUCUCAGGUAUAACUACUAGUAAUCCAUAUGGGUUUGGAGAGGAAUCUCAUGUGUACAAAUGGUGAACAUACAAACUAUGUAGAUGUGGCUCCUGGUCCAGUCUGAACCAGGACCAGAUGCCCAGGUGCCUCCAGUUGUUACAAAACUACAACUCCCAGUAUGCCCAGACAGCCGCUGGAGGCACCCUGGUUGGGAAACACUGGUAUAGCAGGUACAGACUUGACACUUGGAUACAUUUGUUGUGUUUUUGUAGAGCCUACCACAUACAUUGUAUGGGGGAAAAAAUUGUGAAUAUUAAAUAUAGUGUAAACUGUAGUGUGUCAUCGAAAGAUUAGAUUGUGAGCUCUGUGGUUAGAAAUAAUGAGAGAGAUACACUGUGUGAUAGGGAAAUUUAAUAGUGAGCUCUUGGGGUCAAGGGUCAUUGGAAGUAAACAUUAUAUGAAAGGGAGGUUAGAUUGUGAGCUCCUGGAGUCAUGGAUACUGGGAGUGAUACAUAGUGUGAUGAGGGCAGAUGUUGUUGUGAUGUCCCAGUACAGGACAUGGUCCUGUACUACCCUUAGGCCCUGUCAGGUUGAGUCCCUCAGUGACUUUGGGGCUCCUUCGCAAGGUGUCCCCUGUUGGUUUUAUAAAGAUGUGUAUAUCACUUUAAUGCCUUGACAGGAUCCCUAUGUAUAGGUAGUAUAUAGGACAUGUGGGAGGUCUCAAGGACCUGUGUAAGUCUGUCACAUGUUAUGUUAUGCAGUCACAUGAUUUGUUGUCACGUUCUCCCAGAGAGCACCAGCUUAACCUAUGACCUGCAGCUUGACCAAUGGGCUUUAGUCCAGCCCCCCACUAUAUAAAGGGGUUGCCAUUACAGUUCACUCUCUUAUACCAUCAGUCUUUGCUGAGACAGCAACCACCAGAGAUCUAAGUGCAAGUGAUCAGCAUCUGGAAAAGCCGCAAAAGCUUCAGUCUCUCCAGUAAGUCUCAAGUCUAUGUCUGCUGUCACUGAAACUAGUCGAGUCAAGUCUAAUUCCAAGUCAAGUUAACUACAAGUAUAUUGGUCCAGCAAACUGCGAGGUCCUCUGGGUCCUGGCCACCUCUCUGGGAAUUCUGUCCUUAGCUGUGAAGAUAAUUCCACCUGUCUUCUACUCAGUAAAGCCUCCGUUUGACCAUAACUGGUUGUGGACUCUCAUUCCACUUCUAGAAAUUGGGAUAGUAGAGAAUCUGGGCGUGUGGUGUUCCAGAAACCACACUGGCGUCACGAACACUAGGGGUUAAUACCAUCCAGCCCCUGGGGUUAAUACCAUCUGAUCCCACCACUCACACCGCUACACCCGUGGUCCAGCCAUUUCACCCGGUGGUCCACCCCAAUCUUUACCCUCAGGGCAGAUGUUAUAAACCCUUGAUAUUCGUGACGCCAGGUCAUGGUUAUCCUUUACACCACCCGAGGUAUGACCGCUGGUUCCUGGGCCAGGCGUGGGGCAAAAAAUCACUCCGAUGCAAGGUUAGGGAACAACGGCAGCUUUACUGAGGCAGACAGAUGGUAUAGUAUUUACAGCUCAGUUAGGCCCAAGGAGAUGACGUGUGACUUUAGGAGACUUGCAGGCUUGCUGGGACUUGAAAUCAAUUAUGCAGUCCUUUAGACUUGACAGACUUGACUAUUCUGACUAGACUUCUCCCCUGUGGUUGCUUAGUAGGCUUUAACUUUAACUUUCACCUGAAGGGGGUUCAGUGAUGAUUGAAGCAUGGCUGCGUGGUUAGGCCUUGGUCUCCCUUAGGACACCAGACACUCUCAGGUCUUGACUGUACUGUAGCUCAGCAAGGUCUAAACUGAAACUAAACUAGCUCCUCCCAAAGAUAUAAGAGAGCUAUUUGGAGGACUCCCAUAGGUCACCUGGUCACUGACACCUUCCCUGGUUACAUAUGACUUAGUAACAACAUUUAAAGGCACAUUAGCAUGAGUUUAAUACGUUAACUCUUUAUUUCACAGAAGGAAUGAUGAGAGUCCUGAGGAGUGUGGAGGCCAGGGGACUGGGACUGAGUCCACCUGAUAGGACCAACAGUGUACAGAUGGGCCACUUCUGUACUGGGCUACCACAGUAGAUCAUAAGCUCUCGUAGCUGUAGCACUGUCGUGUAUGAAGAUGUGCUGUUAAUACACCAGCACCAUGUAAUUUAGAAGGACAAUCGAUACAUCGUCUCCUAUAAUAAUACACUGCUCAAAAAUAAAGGGAACACUAAGAUAACACAUCCUAGACCUGAAUGAAUGAACUAAUCGUAUGAAAUACUUUCGUCUUUACAUAGUUGAAUGUGCUGACAACAAAAUCACACACAAAUUAUCAAUAGAAAUCAAAUUCAUCAACCCAUGGAGGCCUGGAUAUGGAGCCACACUCAAAGUCAAAGUGGAAAACCACACUACAGGCUGAUCCAACUUUGAUGUAAUCUCCUUAAAACAAGUCAAAAUGAGGCUCAGUAGUGUUUGUAGCCUCCACGUGCCUGUAUGACCUCCCUGCAAUGCCUGGGCAUGCUCCUGAUGAGGUGGACAGUCUGUGUUGCAACGUGGCGUUGGUGGAUGGGGCGAGACAUGAUUUCCCAGAUGGGCUCAAUCGGAUUCAGGUCUGGGGAACGGGCGGGCCAGUCCAUAGCAUCAAUGCCUUCCUCUUACAGGAACUGCUGACACACUCCAGCCAUAUGAGGUCUAGCAUUGUCUUCCAUUAGGAGGAACACAGGGCCAACCGCACCAGCAUAUGGUCUCACAAGGAAUCUGAGGAUCUCAUCUCAAUACCUAAUGGCAGUCAGGCUACCUCUGGCAACACAUGGAGGGCUGUGCGGCCCCCCCCCAAAGAAAUGCCACCCCACACCAUUACUGACCCAACGCCAAACCGGUCAUGCUGGAGGAUGUUGCAGGCAGCAGAAUGUUCUCCACAGUGUCUCAAGACUCUGUCACAUGCUCAGUGGGAACCUGCAUUCAUCUGUGAAGAGCACGGCACCAGUGGCAAAUUUGCCAAUCUUGGUGUUCUCUGGCAAAUGCCAAAUGUCCUGCACGUUGUUGGGCCCUCAAACCACCCUCAUGGAGUCUGUUUCUGACCAUUUGAGUGGACACAUGCACAUUUGUGGCCUGCUGGAGGUCAUUUUGAAGGGCUCUGGCAGUUCUCCUCCUGCUCCUCCUUGCACAAAGAUGGAGUUAGCGGUCCUGCUGCUGGGUUGUUGCCCUCCUACGGCCUCCUCCACGUCUCCUGAUGUACUGGCCUGUCUCCUGGUAGCGCCUCCAUACUCUGGACACUACGCUGACAGACACAGCAAACCUUCUUGCCAAAGCUCGCAUUGAUGUGCCAUCCUGGAUGAGCUGCACUACCUGAGCCACUUUUGUGGGUUGUAGACUCCGUCUCAUGCUACCACUAGAGUGAAAGCACCGCCAGCAUUCAAAAGUGACACAAACAUCAGCCAGGAAGCAUAGGAACUGAGAAGUGGUCUGUGGUCACCACACCACCUGCAGAACCACUCCUUUAUUGGGGGUGUCUUGCUAAUUGCCUAUAAAUUUCUACCUGUUGUCUGUUCCAUUUGCACAACAGCAUGUGAAAUUGAUUGUCAAUCAGUUUUGCUUCCUGAGAGGACAGUGUGAUUUCACAGAAGUGUGACUGACUUGGAGUUACAUUGUGUUGUGUAAGUGUUCCCUUUAUUUUUUUUGAGCAGUGUAGAUAGUUACACAUUUUACACGUGGGUCCUGUACGUCACUUAAAUGACCCCCAACCCCCAGAAUCCUACACAGCCUCUACUCUCCCGGGGGGGCCAUAGAGUGGCUCAUUUUUCGUCCGCAGUAAUACUUUAAUGUGCGCUGCAGAUGCAAAGACAUCACUGCAGGAAUUGUCAUGGUGACAAAGCCGGGAAAUCUCGCAGUAAUGAGGAUCCUUGUUUUGUCAUGUGUGACGGUAUGAAAGUAAAGUGGGUGCUGAAAAAGGGAGCGGCGCAAGAUGACCGCACUGCAUCACCAUUUAACCCUUCCUGUGUCCAAGCAAUUCCUCACCUGCAGAUCACAAUACAUUACUUCUCACUGAAGAGUUUCUGGGUCAAGAUGCAGCUUAAAUCUCGGGCCCCUUAUACAAAUCUGUACACAGAAUAAGUGGGUCCCCAUUUACUUAUGAUCUCAACUUUUAUGGGAUCAAUGUAUUAUAAAGUAAAGUAGCUAUCUGCAUGUAAAUGUUUCUCCCAUUUGCAUAACUACAUUGCUAUGCAGCUAAUGAGAUCCACCAUCCCAGGUGCAACUGCAACCAAUAGGUGGUACUAGAGAGCUACUUUGCAUACUUUUUCCCCCCCAUGGAACAUUGCCUGGGUUCUAAAGCUUCCUAUGCCAGCUGGUGCUCUUCUGAAGAAGAAACAAUACCCUUACACCUAUGGCCCACACUACUCCUUACUAGUGUUGGGCGUGAAUAUUCGCAAUGCGAAUAUUUAUUGUGAAUAUCGCAUAUUCGUGAAUAUUGUGAAUAUAGCGCUAUAUAUUCGCAAUUACGAAUAUUCACAUUUUUUUUCACAGUACACAUUACAGUGAUCAUCCCUCCCUGCUUCCAGCUUGUGGUCUAAGAAGGCUUCAAUACUAGCUACUGUGUCAGAUUGGCACACGCGAAUAUUUGCGAAUAUUGAUCCCUCCCUUCUUUUAGCUUGUGGGCCAAUGAGAAUGAUGCAGAUACAGUUGUCAGAGGUUAACAACAUCCCUAGCAACCAAUAGGAAAGUAUCCCACCCCUUCACUAUAUAAGAUUCCUUCUCCAGCAGCAACUUGUAGUUUCUUGUGGUGGUUUUUGUGAGAGGAGCUUGAAUACUGUCCGUGUUCUUUCAAGUGCUUUUUUUUAAAAGCAAAUUAUCCAGCAAAUUAGAUAGUGUUAGAGUAGGUUAGCUUAGCAGAUAAUAAAUACUAGUGUAGGGUAUAGAGUUAGAGCUUUACUUUUUAAAAAGCAAAUCAUCUAGAGUAGGUUAGUUUAUCAGAUUUAGUUUUAGUGUAGGGUAGUAUAGUGUAGGAUUUAGGUGUGUUUUAUGGUUUUAGUUUAGUGUCUGUGUAGAAAAAAAAAUUAUUAGGUUUAGUUUUUAGUUAGUUUUUUCUUCUUUAGUUUGUGUAGUUAGUAGUGUCUGUGUCUCCGUGAUUGUCUUUGUCUUUGGUAUUUAAAAAAACAAACAAAAAACUAAACAAAAAGAAACGUUUAUUAAUGUUAGGUUUAAGUGUUAGUCUCUUUGUCAGUGUCUGUGUCUUUUGUUAGGUCAAGUAAUUUUUGGCCCAGAGUCCCCAUCCCAAUAAAGUGUAUUCCACCGCUACAAUGAGUAGUAUUCGUGGCCGUUCAGGCAGCAGGGGUAGGGGAGUUUCCAGGGGCAGCUCCUCUAGAGGGUCAGGCGAAGGUGGCAGGGGCGUUCGUCUCAUUAGAGACUUUUUUGGUGGUGGCAGCCACCCCAUUUCUUCACCGGAUGCCGAGGUAGUAGUGGAUCUAGUGGCACAAGCCAGUGCCACGGAUUCCUCUGCUCCGGCUCCGAGCAGCAGCAGCACUCUGGUUCCUGUAGCCCCAGCCCCCAAGAGUCUAGCCUUCUCCUGUUUGACAGGGACAGUGAGAGGGACCUCUUGGGGGAGGUCCUGCAUCAGGCUGAUCUCCAUCUCAGUGCUGAUGCUCAGGACCUUUUGGAAGGGAUGAUGGUUUUAUCCAACAAACCCCCGCACCUAGUCACACCCAGGCGUCAGCGAGGGGACAGCGGAGCCAGGUCAGGGGCUAUACAUCUGCUGUUCCCCUGAGUCCACCACAGUUUGGCCCUGGGUCGGACACAUCUGGGGGUGAAGAGGAGGGUGACCCAGAAUGGGUGCCACCUCCCUUGUCAGUUCACAGCAGCAGUGACGAGGAAGGUAGGCAGCCUAGGGAAACAGUGCGCCAGGUCACCAGGAAGACCAGCUCCACUGGUAAUGGCAGCAGGAGGAGGCAGCAGCAGCCAGCUCCACCUGUGCGCACUGAGUCCCAACAGGUGCAAGUCAGCACCACCCCCAUCUGACAGGAGGUCAGUGCUGAAGUGACCAUUUUGGGCUUACUUCACCCUGGUAGCAGAUGAUGCUGCUAUAGGCAUUUGUCAACUGUGCCAUGCCAGGGCAAGUAGAGGGAGGUCUUUGGCUCGGCUGGGUACCACUGCCCUUACCCAGCACCUGAGGGUCAACCACUGGCGGGAGCGGGAACAGAUGUGGGGUGGUGGUAGCAGCACCACCAGCAGUGUGCAGGGGACAGCAGCUCCUGCCACUGUACUGCAGACACCCCAACCCCUUCCAGUCAUGCAUUCUCACUUCCCCGCACCCUCUCGUAGAGGUACUGGUACCGGCAGCCAGACCUCUGCCUCCACUGCACCCUUCUCUAGGUCCUCCACUGCCCUCCGGCGCCAGCCGUCGGUUGCCGACGCGUUUGAACGCACGGCGCCCUACCCCCCUGGGGACUGGAGCGUGCGUCCACACAAUGGUGCAUCUGACAAUGGAUGGUUGGACCAGCAGACAUGGGCAGGGACGAAAUCUGAGUUUUACUGCCCAUUGGGUUUCCCUCUGAGGUGCCAGAGAGGGAUCGGCAGAAUCUGAGUUUGUGGUGCCACCCUGGGGUGUCCAAGGGAGAACUGCUGCUCUUCCAUCCCCACUGUCUCCACAGCUGCUGAGCCGACCAGCAAGCAUCCCCGUAGCUACACAAGUGUGGGGCGCAUGUGGUGCCAGGCCGUGCUCCAGCUUGUGAGUCUAGGGGAACGUAGACACACUGGACCUGAUGUUCUGGCCGCACUACAGGUUCAGGUCCAGAAGUUGCUGACACCCCGCAGGCUUCAAGCAGGUAUGGUUGUCUGUGACAAUGGCAGCAACCUACUCACCACCCUCUAUGCUGGCAGUCUCACCCAAAUGCCCUGCCUGGCACAUGUCCUCAGCCUUGUGGUGCAGAAGUUCCUGCGCACAUAUCCAAGGUUGACAGACAUGGUGCAAAGGGUACAGAGGAUUGCCAGCCACUUCCGACACUCCCCAACAGCCACCACGUCCAAACUGCAGCGGGACAAGAGCCUGCCCCCUCAAAGGCUGAUUGUGGAACUCCAUCCUCCACAUGGUGGAGAGUUUGUGGGAGCAGCGACGGGCGGAGAGGGAGUACCUGCUUGAAGAAGGGGAGGAAGAGUCUGUGGACGUCCAGGAGUCUGGGCCUGGUCAGGAGGGAGAGCCGGUGUUGGGGGCACCGUUAGUCCGGGGGUGGGGCAGCUCCCACUGGGAGCAGCAGCGAUAGCAGCAGGAGGACCAAGAGGUGAUGGUCCUGGGCAGUCAUGAAGAGUCAUAGCGGGCUGUCCUCUUCCCCAUGUCUGCCCACAUGCUGCAGUGCCUCAGGAGGUACCCCCAGAUCAUUGCCAUUAAGGAGAGGGAUGAUUAUUGGUUGGCCACCCUUUUAGACCUGGAGCAGUUCAUGCCAGCCAGCUGGAGGCAGGACCGUAGGCAUGAACUGCAGUCCUGUCUCAUCAGCCGGUUGGAGCAGGCAUCUCCCCGGCCUCCAGUUCUCCCCACCCAUCUCACCCAGCAGGUGGCUGGACCCAGCAGCACCAGCCGAGCAGGUGACCUUCUGGGUGAGAUGAGGCUGUUCUACCAGCUUGCACAACCCAGUAGAAGCAGCAGUCACCACCAGCAGCUGUCCCACAUGGUGGUAGACUACAUGAGUCCGUUGGUGCAUCCGACAGGAUGAGCACAGACAACCCCAUGGAGUACUGGGUUGCCAGGCUGGACACCUGAUGCAAGCUCGCUCAGUAUGCGCUGGAGUUACUGUCCCGCCGCCCCCCCCUCCAGCAGCGCAGCAAGUGGGGUGGUCACAGACUGGCGGACCAGUCUGACCACAGUCCUGGAUCGGCAGCGACUUCUUGACUUCUGUCAGUUCAGGGCGCUGAAGGGUCCCUUGUCAAUCCCUCUCCUUCGCUCUCCCUCCAAUAA